CUUCCUCUCUCUACACUGGCUGAUGAUAUUCCUCACCUCACCUGUCUCUUUGCUCAGCAGCCCAAUAGGAGCACUUUCUCCCUCCUCUGUGUGGGGUAAGGGGUGGGGGCAGGGUCCACCUGGCAUUGGCGGGAGGGGCAAGUCACGUGGCUGGGGUAGGGGCGGGGCAGGACUGGGAUGGCACUCCAUCUCUAAAAGGUUUGCCAUCACUGGCCUAGCCCUUACUGCUCUUUUGCAAAUUUUUUUAAACCUUUACUUCCCCCUUAGAACUAAAAAGUAAUAAGGACAAAAGCUUUAUUCUUUAAACUUGUGAAAAGUCUAGUUCGUGUAUGUAUGUGUAUCCACAUACGGCUAGGCAUAUAUUGGGUGUGUACAUAAAUGUAUAUAGGUACUGUCUGUGUGUAUUUAGUCCUAUAUGACACUUCAGGACUCCACUGGGGCUUUUGGCAAGGCUAUCGGCGGUUUGCCGUUGCCUUCUCGAGCUCAUUUUACAAACAGGAUUAAAUGCCUUGCUCCGAAUCACGCAGCUAGUAAGUGUCUGAGUCCGAAUUUGAACUCGGGUCUCUUCCUGGCUCCAAGCCCUGCUGUGCCACCGCGGUGCCCUUCAUCUGUACUGUGUACCCGUGUACUCAGACAUGUGGGUGUUCCUGAUCCUGGUCCUCAAAUCAACCACCUGUCUGAAAGGGAAUUUUAAAAUAACAAAUGAGAACUAAUUCAAAUUGGGCCGCUCUGUGUCCCUUCCACCAGUUUAAAUGAUGCCGUUCUCAGCCUCAUUCAUUCCGGCUAGGUCCGCUGCUUCCCCAUCUUCUUUAUUUUUUGCUGACCUCUCGGAGGCACGGAGCUGUGCACGGAACGAGGGGCUGUGCUUUCGGGGCAGGGAUACGCUUGGAGACCCCGCAGGCACCAGCCCAGACGCGUUUACCCGGGGAACGAGCGCGCCCCGCGUAACGGAGCUGUCCACUCGACUGAUUCCGAACGUGGUGGGAGAAGAUCCGAAGGGAAAGCCGAGCCAAAGGAGGUCAGGCUUCUUCCGGGGCAUCCUGGGAAUUGUAGUCCCCAGUGUGCCAGGGAUUCCACGCCCCGGGAAGAACUUGACUACGGUCCCCGAAAGCCUCCAGGCUUUCAGCUGGUGGGAGCAGCACUUCCUGAAACAGCUCGGGCUCAGCGGGAACCGACGCCGCAGCAGCAAUCCAGGCAGCCGCGGCAGAAACCGCGGCAGCUGCCCAGGGCGAUCUCCUCUCUUUGGGCCACUGCGGGACCCAGGCCGUGGGAGGCCCGUUUGGAGGAGAGCCAUUCCGACGCCGCAGAUCUUUUGGAGUCCAGUUCAUCUCAUCUGUUCAUGUAGAUUUACUACAAUUUCUCCCCAUUUGACAAAGGCAUUUUUAAACUUCCCAGGCAAACCUCCAACGGUGACACAAGAAAAAAAGAUCUUUAAAAAGAGAAUCAGAGGCCAGAAGAAGAUAUAUUUGAUUCGAAAUUUGAGUUGGAUGGAGGAUUCUCUGACUUGGAGUUGGACUGGAAGAACUGGACCCCUGGAAGAACUCAUGCAGGAGACCUCAGACUGCUUUUCCAUUUUAGACUGUCACCGCUGCAACAAAUUGGAUGCUGAACCAUAAGGAAAUAACUGGACAAGUCUUGGUGUAUGAAGUGAUGAAGCAAGCUAGACCCUUACAAAUACGCUCCAUGGAGAAACCACUGUGACACCGUCAAGAAUGAGAGAAGGUAUUGGGAUCUCAUCCGACUUUUCGGAUGUGCUUCCUAUUGUCAUUGCCCUCUUUUGUACAAAAGAUACAGAGAAUGCAAAUUACUUGAAAGCUGCUCCAGAAAGAAGAAAAGGGCGAAGAAAUGACUGUCUCCUUCAGCAUCAUGAAAGGCAGUUCUGUGAAAACACUGAGAAGCAACCUCUGUUAAAGAAUAAAUCUAGGUUUGUAUAGAACUGCUCUCA
ensembl:lncRNA